UUCUCUUCAUUCCUCGCUUACUUACAUAGUUUUUUUUGUUAUUGAUGUCUUCUUUGAUCACCAAGUUCUUCAGUUUGGCUUCUUUAGCCAUUCCUUUGGUUUCUGUUUCUGUUUUCAUUUUCUUGCUGAUCUUUUUGCCUUCUUGACUCUUUAUAGGUUUUUCCGUCUGCAAUAGUUGCUUUGAUCUUUCAUGGUUCUUGUUUUGACAUGUUCAGUAUAUCCGAUACGUUCAGCAUAUGUGACUGUUUCGAGAUCUUUAGUUUUUUCCAUCAAUGAGGACAGAGAUGCGUAGCUCUUUGACAUCAAGGCUAGCAUCUUCAUAACCAUAUCGAAGUUAGAUCUUCCUUCUCCGAGAGCUCUCAUCUGGUUAGCUACAGCUUGAAUCCUGUUAGAGAAGCCUUCACCUUAUGGAUAUUGCGGAUCAACAAGAUAGUGGGCUGAUGGACUGCGACGUGCAUAACGACAAUCUGAUGGGGCUAGAGCUGGCGGAGAUG
rnacentral:lncRNA from 1 species